GGAACCUCCACACUGUUUUCCAGAGCGGCUCCACCAGUUUGCAUGCGUGCUUGGUCGACGAGGACAACCUUCCCCGAUAGAGGAGGACUGUUCUUCGGUCAAGGGUAUACAAGUAGCUGCACUCCCCUGCUAGAACCUCCAAAUAAGACACCCCUCCCCCACCGCCCCUCCGCCAGCACUGCCGAGUCCCUGGACCUGGCCUGUUGGCAUCACCUUCAU
rnacentral:snRNA from 1 species